UCUGCUUCUUCAUAUUUAGUGUAAAUCCAAACAGCAACGCUCCUGAGUUUGUGUCCCACGUCACCUUCAGUCCGCUCAGAGCAGAGGAAUCAUUUCCAUAGAGAGGAGGCUUUGCAUCGUCAGCUGAUCCUCCACUGAACUGAGAAGCUUUAUAGUCCUGUGACUCCAACUCUGCAGGACUCAGACCCGUCAGUCCACCACAACCACCAUGACUCUCAUCACCCUCCUCAUCUGGACGCUGGCCUGCUGCAGCUUCACAGGAUGCAGCGGCCAGGUGACUGUGACUCAGCCUCCAGUCGUGACAUUUACUCCAGGAUCCACUGUCACACUGACCUGUAACACCAACCCCAGUGUUCAUAGGGAUGGUGCUGGUGAUGAUUGGCUGUCCUGGUACCAGCAGAAACCUGGACAGGCUCCACAGCUCCUAAUAUACUGGGCUAACAGGAUUCAAUCAGGAACACCAGCUCGGUUUAGUGGCAGUGGAAGCAGCUCUGACUUCUCUUUGACCAUCAGUGGAGUUCAGAGUGAAGAUGCAGCAGUUUAUUACUGUCAGAGUGUCCAUAAAGUAAACGGAGCAGAUGUGUCCACACAGUGAUUUAGAGCCGUACAAAAACCUCCCUCAGUUUGACUGAAGUGAAACUGGUCUGCUGCAGCUGCACAGAGAAUAACUGGUCCAGUGAACACAACACAAGUCUUCAAGCAGAGCGACAAUGACGCUAAACACAACUGAAACAAACUCACAGUUUAAAAUGUUUUGAAAUCUCCUAACAAAGCCCCAUGAAACAAACUUUGUCAAAUUUACAU